AAACAUACCAGGUUAGGCGGCUGUCAGUUGUCUGUCAGUCUGUGUGAGAGGGCGUUUUUUGAAAUAAAGAUUGUGAAGAUAAAGGAUUCGCAGAAUUAUCGCACGACUGGUUUUGCCUACCUUUGGAAGCGAGUCAAUCACGUGUCAGUAUGCAUUGGCGAAUCUUCUUCGCCACUGUUAUCUGUGUAAAUGGAAUUCAUGCUUCAGGAAUCCUCUACCCCAGACCAUCGGAAUCAAGAGAAACACUAACCUUGGACGGAAUUUGGAAAUUUGCGAUCGCUAACAGGACAGAACAGAACAAAGGUUUUAAAGAUAAGUGGUAUGCAGCCCCUCUUCAUCACAAUGUGGAAGUGAUUGACAUGCCUGUGCCCUCUAGUUAUAAUGACAUAACACAAGAUGCAAACAUUAGGGAUCACAUUGGUUGGGCCUGGUAUCAAAGAGAUUUUUUCCUUCCCAAAAGUUGGAAAUCACAGCAAGUCAGUAUCAGGUUUGGCAGUGUCAAUUAUUAUGCAGUAGUGUGGAUCAAUGGUGUUGAAGUAACCAAUCACUCUGGAGGUUAUUUGCCUUUCGAGGUAAAAAUCACUGAACAUUUGAAAUUUGGACACCUAAACUGGAUCACAGUAGCUGUUAACAACACACUCACUCCAUGGACUAUCCCUCAGGGGAAAAUUGUUUACCACAACGACUCACAACGCUACCCCGCAGGCUAUUAUGAACAACAGUAUAAUUUUGAUUUCUUCAAUUUUGCGGGCAUUCACCGUCCUGUCAUAUUAUCUGCAACGCCAAAAACUUAUAUAGACGAUAUAACCAUCAACACGACGAGUGUGACGGAUUCUCUUGGCGUCAUAUUCUACUCGGUUGAGCUAGGGGGCUCGAAGAUUGCCGCUUACUCAGUCAUUGCAGAAAUUUAUGAUGCACAGCACCGCCUCGUUGCUCAGGCCAAGGGACUCAAAGGCGAAAUCAGCAUUAAUAAUCCAAACUUGUGGUGGCCCCGAGGAAUGAACGAGUCAGUCGGAUAUCUUUACACGCUCAAGAUCCAGUUAUGGAACGAUGCCAAAAAUGUGGAGGGUGACAUUUACAGACUUCCAUUCGGUGUUCGUUUCAUUGAAUGGAAUUCGACAGGGGUCUACAUAAAUGGAAAAAGCGUUUAUUUUAAAGGAUUUGGCCGACACGAAGACGCGAUUUUGAGAGGCCGUGGCUUGGACCUGGUAACAUUAACAAAGGACUACAAUCUAAUGAGAUGGAUAGAAGCCAAUUCAUUUCGCACUUCACACUACCCAUAUUCGGAAGAACUAAUGGAUCUGGCUGAUCAACAAGGAUUUCUGGUUAUCGAUGAAGUUCCAGCUGUUGGUCUUGAUAACUUUGAUGAUGAACUUUUGGAAGCCCACAUGCAGACCUUGAAGGAACUGGUUCAACGCGACAAAAAUCGCCCUGCAGUUGUAAUGUGGUCAAUUGGCAACGAACCCCAAUCGCAAAAACAAGUCUCGGCACACUACUUUGAUACUAUUGUCAAGCUAGUCCAUCGACUAGAUUCAUCGAGGCCUGUGACUUUAGUUUUGAACAAACCGAGCAGCCAAGAUGUUGCUGUGAGUCGAUCUUCAGAUAAGUGUAGAUUGUUAGUUGUCGUAGCUUCCUUACGUAGAUAUGCACAUAACUAAGGUCACAGGCGUGUCGCUAAUUAUACUCGUUCAUUGGAUCUCGCCAGACCUGUGACCAUGGUUUUGGCUCAAUCCUACGCGUCUGAUUUAGCUGCCCAGUUCCUAGAUGUUAUUUGCAUAAAUCGUUAUUUCGGUUGGUACUCGGAUACCGGCCAUAGCGAACUAAUAACCUACCAG
rnacentral:misc_RNA from 1 species